rnacentral:misc_RNA from 1 species
GGAAAUAAAAGUCGUAACAAGGUUUCCGUAGGUGAACCUGCGGAAGGAUCAUUAAUGAGUUGUCAUGGGGUUCGAUGCUGGCAGCCAAUUUUUGGAUGCAUGUGCUUGCCCUAACAAUCAUCUUCCAAACACCUGUGCACAUUUUUGAGGGAGUCUUGAGUUGGUUGCCGCUCUUGGGUGAUUUUCUCACAUUCCCUUAAAUCAUUAUACGCUAUUAACAAUGUUGAACGUGCUCUGUGCCGCAAGGCUAUUAAUAUAAUACAACUUUUAACAACGGAUCUCUUGGCUCUC